rnacentral:rRNA from 1 species
GUACACUCCUGCGGGAGGCAGCAGUGGGGAAUAUUGCACAAUGGGCGCAAGCCUGAUGCAGCGACGCCGCGUGGGGGAUGAAGGCCUUCGGGUUGUAAACUCCUUUCGCUAGGGACGAAGCUUUUUUGUGACGGUACCUAGAUAAGAAGCACCGGCUAACUACGUGCCAGCAGCCGCGGUAAUACGUAGGGUGCGAGCGUUGUCCGGAAUUACUGGGCGUAAAGGGCUCGUAGGUGGUUUGUCGCGUCGUCUGUGAAAUUCUGGGGCUUAACUCCGGGCGUGCAGGCGAUACGGGCAUAACUUGAGUGCUGUAGGGGUAACUGGAAUUCCUGGUGUAGCGGUGAAAUGCGCAGAUAUCAGGAGGAACACCGAUGGCGAAGGCAGGUUACUGGGCAGUUACUGACGCUGAGGAGCGAAAGCAUGGGUAGCGAACAGGAUUAGAAACCCUAGUAGUCCCAUG